rnacentral:rRNA from 1 species
CCUACGGGCGGCAGCAGUGAGGAAUAUUGGUCAAUGGGCUUACGCCUGAACCAGCCAAGUCGCGUGAGUGAAGACUUCCCUAUGGGUUGUAAACCUCUUUUGCCAGGGAGCAACGCCGGCUACGUGUCGCCGGACUGCGAGUACCUGACGAAAAAGCAUCCGCUAACUCCGUGCCAGCAGCCGCGGUAAUACGGGGGAUGCGAGCGUUAUCCGGAUUUGUUGGUGUAAAAGGGUGCGUAGGCGGAAUGCCAAGUCAGCGGUAAAAUCGCGGGGCUCAACCUCGCUCCGCCGUUGAAACUGGCGUUCUUGAGUGGGCGAGAAGUAUGCGGAAUGCGUGGUGUAGCGGUGAAAUGCAUAGAUAUCACGCAGAACUCC